AGCCUGGGUGAUAAAAGUGAAACUCUGUCUCAAAAAACAAACAAACAAACAAACAAAAGAGUACAAUAAGGACCCCACAUUUGGGAAAAAUAACUGAGCAAAUACAAUGAGCCAGAGGAAAAAAGCUAAGCCUCACACCCUAUUACCUAUCUAUCUCAUUUACUUCUCAACCUGAAACUACUCUUGUGGUCAUGAGCUGUAUGUCUUUUGUUCUCCACUCUAUUCUCAGCACCAAAUGCAGUGCCUGGCACAUGGUGCCCAGGAAAGACUAUUGACUGAAUAACUGAUUUCCUACAACCAGUCUGCAAGGUAGACAUCCUUUUUUUCCCUUUUUUACAGGUGAAGAACUAACGUUGAUGGAAGUUUAGCAACCUUUCCCAAAGUCUCAUAGUGUGUGGAUCAGUGUUAAAAGUGCUUCAUGGAGAAAUGGAGACCUGAAAGGGACUGUGAAGGAGGAGUGGGGCUCAGCAAACAGCAGACAAGUUUCAAUCCAAGCACGCAUUACCCCCCCAACACACGGCAUACGUGCACCUCAUCUCCUCCUGUGUCGCUAAGAAGCUACCCAUAUGUCUGUCAUUAAUUCUUCAGAAUCCUUGGACACACCCUUCUGCAGGGCUUUCUAACAGGAAAUACAAGUCUCAGAUUUUUUUUUAAGUUAAAAUUGAGUACAGCACUCAUACCUUUCUUCAAGCAUGAACUGUCAAUCAACACUGCCUCAUGAGCUACUGCUCUCCUCCUCUUUGAAAAGACAAAUCCUUAUUUCUUUGUGGUGAUCCAGAAGGCAGUGGGAAGAAUCACAGGUGCUUGGUUAUCUUCAAUUUAAUCUCUACCCUUCAAUGGGGCUGGUGCAAGCUAGGGCCAUUUUACUGCACCCAGAGGAAUUUAAGACAUCUCUAUUAUCUCUAAAGAAUCCAGAUUAACAUGCCUUCUUGGUGGGAAGGGAGACCUGCUAUGAAUUCUAGGAUCUUAAUUCAAAUGCUUUCAAAUUCUUACUUCUUGUUCAGUUAAUUACAUAUAUGUCACCACAGUCUUUAGCUUUUUUUUGUUUGUUUUCUAUGCUCCUAAUUUUCUCUGAAACUGUAGCAUUAUUUUAGGGGUUAAUAAAUUUGUAAUUGGAAAAA